UUUUUUUGUUCAUGAUAAAAAAUAUGUACCCACAUAUAUGAUAUAUAACGUGAUCUUUUUUGUGCAGUGCCGGGACACAUAUUCUCUUCGGAACGAUUUCAAUUAUUUUUUUAAUUGUAUUCUUUUUAUUCAAGAAGUUUGACCCCCCUCUAAUUUAUUUGUUUUCUUUAUUUGAUUUGCGUUUUUUUGGGGGACUUAGAUUCCAAUUUAAUGUGUCUCACAACCGAGAAAAAUUAGGGGGGUCAUUUUGGUUNNNN
rnacentral:lncRNA from 1 species